CAGUAGCCGCGGUAACACGGAGGGUGCAAGCGUUAAUCGGAAUUACUGGGCGUAAAGCGCACGCAGGCGGUCUGACAAGUCAGAUGUGAAAUCCCCGGGCUUAACCUGGGAACUGCAUUUGAAACUGUCAGGCUGGAGUCUUGUAGAGGGGGGUGGAAUUCCAGGUGUAGCGGUGAAAUGCGUAGAGAUCUGGAGGAAUACCGGUGGCGAAGGCGGCCCCCUGGACAAAGACUGACGCUCAGGUGCGAAAGCGUGGGGAGCAAACAGGAUUAGAUACCCGCGUAGUCCCUGUCUCUUAUAC
rnacentral:rRNA from 1 species